GGUCGAGCGAUUAAAGCCCGCAAGGGCAUAUAAAGUGGCAAACGGGUGAGUAACAGGUGGAUAAUCUGCCCCUUGGCGGGGGAUAACGGCUGGAAACGGCCGCUAAUACCGCAUUCGGUUGCCUGGGUUUUGGCCCGGGCAAAGAAAGACGCUUCACGGCGUCGCCAAAGGAUGAGUCCGCCCCCCAUUAGCUAGUUGGUAAGGUAACGGCUUACCAAGGCUUCGAUGGGUAGCCGAGCUGAGAGGUUGAUCGGCCACACUGGGACUGAGAUACGGCCCAGACACCUACGGGUGGCAGCAGUAGGGAAUAUUGGACAAUGGGCGAAAGCCUGAUCCAGCCAUGCCGCGUGAGUGAUGGAGGCCUUCGGGUCGUAAAACUCUUUUCUGAGGGAAGAACAACCCAGGGAGGAAAUGAUCCUGGCCUGACGGUACUUCAGGAAUAAGCAACGGCUAACUCCGUGCCAGCAGCCGCGGUAAUACGGAGGUUGCGAGCGUUGUUCGGAAUAACUGGGCGUAAAGGGAGCGCAGGCGGUUUGAUCAGUCUGAAGUGGAAUCCCGGGGCUCAACCCCGGAAGUGCUUUGGAUACUGUCAAGCUUGAGUACGUGAGAGGAAAGUGGAAUUCCAGGUGUAGCGGUGAAAUGCGUAGAUAUCUGGAGGAACACCGGUGGCGAAAGCGACUUUCUGGCACGAUACUGACGCUGAGGCUCGAAAGCGUGGGGAGCGAACGGGAUUAGAUACCCCGGUAGACCACGCCGUAAACGUUGUGCACUAGGUGUGGGAGGGAUCGACCCCUUCUGUGCCGCAGCUAACGCAUUAAGUACACCGCCUGGGGAGUACGCGCGCAAGCGUGAAACUCAAAGGAAUUGACGGGGGCCCGCACAAGCGGUGGAGCAUGUGGUUUAAUUCGAGGCAACGCGAAGAACCUUACCCAGGCUUGACAUCCUGCGCUACUCUUGGAAACAAGAGGUUCUCUUCGGAGACGCAGAGACAGGUGCUGCAUGGCUGUCGUCAGCUCGUGCUGUGAGGUGUUCGGGUAAGUCCGGCAACGAGCGCAACCCCUAUCGUUAGUUACCAUCAUUCAGUUGGGGACUCUAACGAGACCGCCGGUGUUAAGCUGGAGGAAGGUGGGGAUGACGUCAAGUCAUCAUGGCCCUUAUGCCCAGGGCUACACACGUGCUACAAUGGACCCUACAGAGGGCCGCGAAGCCGCGAGGUGGAGCAAAUCCCAGAAAAGGUAUCUCAGUUCGGAUUGGAGUCUGCAACUCGACUCCAUGAAGCUGGAAUCGCUAGUAAUCGCGGAUCAGCAUGCCGCGGUGAAUACGUUCCCGGGCCUUGUACACACCGCCCGUCACACCACGAAAGCUUGUUGUACCAGAAGUCGUU
rnacentral:rRNA from 1 species